rnacentral:rRNA from 1 species
UACGUAGGGUGCAGGCGUUAAUCGGAAUUACUGGGCGUAAAGCGUGCGUAGGUGGUUCGUUAAGUCUGAUGUGAAAGCCCUGGGCUCAACCUGGGAAUGGCAUUGGAAACUGGCGACCUAGAGUGCGGUAGAGGGCAGUGGAAUUCCCGGUGUAGCAGUGAAAUGCGUAGAGAUCGGGAGGAACAUCUGUGGCGAAGGCGACUGCCUGGACCAGCACUGACACUGAGGCACGAAAGCGUGGGGAGCAAACAGG